AAGUAGGAUAUCCAUCUUGUAUAGUUGGUUAAUUAGAAGCUAUGUAAAGCUUAGCACCACAAAGAUUGGCGCUUUUUGACUCGCAACGACUAAUUCAAAGAAUACAGAUACAACAUUCUUUUCUCUCACUAAAUGCAUCCGAAAGAAAUUUAUCUUCAGUGCUGAAAUAUUCAGCUUAUCCACUUCGCCAAUAUAUAAGAUAGAAUUUUCUGUGUUCUAGCAGUGUAAAAGAUUUUUAUACAAAUAAAUUUUAAUGACAUGAUCAUAGUGCCCAAAAUAUUUAUGCUAUCUGCUGUGUACCAGGGGCGGAUGAGCAAACGAGUGCGGGGUUCAACUGAACCCACUACUUUUGACCCAGAGCAUAAAUUUAUGUAAAAAUUUAUCAAAACUAUAAAAAAUAGUAGACAUGAACCCAUAAGUUUAAAUAUACUAUGAGUUCAAUGCUAAAAACAUUAAAGGUUGAAGAGUUUAAAUUUUAGAUCUGUCUCUGCUGUGUACAGUUAGACCUCUCUAUAACGGUAUCCCUAUAUAACAAUCAUUAGUUAAGUUUUUUUCGGAACUGAUCCUUUAUUUUAUGUUAUAAUAUCUUUUUUUAUAACAGCACUUUACUGUAACGUCCGAAAAUUACGAUUGUUAUAAAGAGGAGGCUUGUUAUAGGGGAGGUUUGACGGUAUAAAUUAAAGCCCUUGAAAUAUUGCUUGAUUUGUGGGAUAAAAUUUGGAUAUUUUGCUUUUUGAAAUUUUUAGUGGUGCGGGUGGAGGAGGUUAUGAAAGAAUAUCAUAAUUUAAUCCAAAACUUUAGUUAGGUCAGAGUAAUUUACCAGAGGAGAACGGGUUUACGAAUGCAUUCAGAUGGUGAUCACUUCGUGCCUUACACCUUGUGUAUCUCUGAAAUCUUCUUCUUGUCUUCAAAAUAUCAACUUUGGUCAAUUGAAUUACACCCUUUUACGGAAAUCGUGUAUAUGUGUGCCGUGAUUUGGUUGAUUAGUAUGCCAAGAAAUCCUUUACGAAGAAUGCAGCUGUGUUGUUCGAUGAAAUUCCUGUGAAGAACACUUCCUGUCAGGCUGCCCUGAAGAUAAGAUGUGGAUGAGGGGCCUUGCAUUGGCGAGGAAGAUUUCAUUUCCAUGCUGAUGUUCAUUACCAGCCCGUGCAUCUUAAUUAGUGCUGAGGUCCACCAGUGCUCAGCAUUGGCACAACACAAGUAAACACUGGUUGGUUUUGUUUAGCUUUGACCAGAAGCUUGACAAUUUUAUAAGUGUUCUCGAAGUCUUCAACUACACCACCACUUGGAAUCAUAAGAGUAAGACAGUAGAUUUUUUUCAUAGGAACCAACUUGUAUCCUGAGCCAUUGCUUUAGCACUAUAGAUGGUCAAAUUUCGUCUAAAUUUCAGGAUAUGCCCUCAUAGAUUCGCAUUUGAUGAUCAAUCAUUGGAAUUCUGACUACAACUUGUUGAUUUAACAUCAAGAAAUGGCUAGAGGUGGUCCCUAACUAAACCAUUCUUCAAGAAGAUGAGGUUUCCAUACGUUCUUUGUUGUGAACAUCAGUGGGACCUUCUGCUUUUGGACUAGUCUCAAUGUGUAAAUAGUAUGACAAUGAAUUGGAAGACAAAACCAUGUGAUACAUCAGGUGCUAUUGUCUUUAGCUGGUGUCCACAGAAUGCCUAUGCACUUAAGUAGGAUUUUAUAACAUGUCAUUGGCCUAUAAAAACACAUAUAAAGAAGGGUUACCAUAACAGCACUCAACAAACUUGAAAUCAUAUAAAGUUUUUCUCUGCUUUCAGGGUCCUUACUAAUUCUUCCCUUCCUUAUUUGCUCAUUCUGUAUUGAACUAAAUGACCAUGGCUAUCCGUAUGCCUCGUAUAAUAAAGAAGUCUUCUCAAGCUGGAGAUGUCCCGAAGGGUCAUUUUGCUGUUUAUGUUGGGGAGAAGCAGAAGAAGAGAUUUGUAAUCCCCAUAUCAUUCUUGAGUCAACCUUUAUUUCAAGACUUGCUUAGUCAAGCUAAAGAAGAAUUUGGCUUUGAUCAUUCAAUGGGUGGUCUCACAAUUCCCUGCAGCGAGGAUGUCUUCAUUGAUCUUACUUCUCACUUGAGUAGGAUAUGAGGCUUUUCCUUUCACAGUUUUGUAAAGAAUGGGAUUUUCAGUUUGUACAUUAAAAGAAUUAGGAAAGACACAUCAUUUAUACCAUAUUAUUGAAAAUUAGAUAGAGGGGGCUACUGUCAACUGCAACAGUAGAUCCCAAUUUUGAAUGUAAUUUUCAGUAGUUGAUGUCAAAAAGACAUACAGCACAUUCAUUAGCAAAUGAAAUCUGCUCAUAUUCACUCUUUACCCAA